UUCUACGUUGUCUCGCUCUCUUCGCCGAGCCUUGGUUCCGUUCUGCUGCUUCGUCACCGGCUCACACCACUUCAAUUCUCUUCUGCACCAUGAUUCCCCAUAGCCAAAUCAGCUUCACCGAUUACAGAAUGAUCCCUGGUGUGAAGAGUUAAUUAUAUUGAUGCUGAAAAAAAAGACACUGAUGAAGAGUUGAUGAAUUGCUAGACCAAGUUUAAAGAAAGGAUUGCAAUGUUGCAAUGUUACAAAAUAAGCAAGCUGGAAAGAGAGAUGAAUGACACCCAAAGUUCUUUCCUUAAGAAGAUGAUUCCAUCUGGGAGAUUAGCAAGCUACAAAUAGAAGCAGAGGGUCACACGUCUUUGAAGAAUAAACGUGAUUCCUCCAUUCAAAAUCUUUUAGCUAGGUAUAACUUAGGGAUGAAUUUGUUCUUUUUGUAAACAAAACAAGUGUAUUUGGAUAUCAGAUUGAAUUUGUUGUUUUGGUGCACAA